rnacentral:rRNA from 1 species
GACGGAGGGUGCUAGCGUUGUUCGGAAUUACUGGGCGUAAAGGGCGCGUAGGCGGCCGUUUGCGUCGGAUGUGAAAGCCCGGGGCUCAACCCCGGAACGGCAUCCGAUACGGGACGGCUGGAGACCGGGAGAGGAGGGUGGAAUAGCCAGUGUAGAGGUGAAAUUCGUAGAUAUUGGCUGGAACACCGGUGGCGAAAGCGGCUCUCUGGCCCGAUACUGACGCUGAGGCGCGAAAGCGUGGGGAGCAAACAGG